rnacentral:rRNA from 1 species
CCAGACUCCUACGGGAGGCAGCAGUGGGGAAUAUUGCACAAUGGGGGAAACCCUGAUGCAGCGACGCCGCGUGAAGGAUGAAGUAUUUCGGUAUGUAAACUUCUAUCAGCAGGGAAGAAAAUGACGGUACCUGACUAAGAAGCCCCGGCUAACUACGUGCCAGCAGCCGCGGUAAUACGUAGGGGGCAAGCGUUAUCCGGAAUUACUGGGUGUAAAGGGAGCGUAGACGGUGAAGUAAGUCUGGAGUGAAAGGCGGGGGCCCAACCCCCGGACUGCCCUGGAAACUAUUUGACUGGAGUGCAGGAGAGGUAAGCGGAAUUCCUAGUGUAGCGGUGAAAUGCGUAGAUAUUAGGAGGAACACCAGUGGCGAAGGCGGCUUACUGGACUGUAACUGACGUUGAGGCUCGAAAGCGUGGGGAGCAAACAGGAUUAGAUACCCCAGUAGAG